UUGACCUCGAUCAGUAGAU
rnacentral:rRNA from 1 species